GACGAACGCUGGCGGCGCGCUUAACACAUGCAAGUCGAACGGUGAACGGGGCUUCGGCCCCCGGAUCAGUGGCGAACGGGUGCGUAACACGUGGGCAACCUGCCCCUCACUCUGGGAUAACCCCGGGAAACCGGAGCUAAUACCGGAUACUCCGAACGGAUCGCAUGGUCCGAUCGGGAAAGGUCCGCCGGUGAGGGAUGGGCCCGCGGCCUAUCAGCUUGUUGGUGAGGUAAGGGCGCACCAAGGCGACGACGGGUAGCUGGGCUGAAAGGACGACCAGCCACACGGGGACUGAGAGACGGCCCAGACUCCUACGGGAGGCAGCAGUGGGGAAUCUUGCGCAAUGGGCGAAAGCCUGACGCAGCGACGCCGCGUGGGGGAUGAAGGCCCUCGGGUUGUAAACCCCUUUCGGCAGGGACGAAGCGGUUCCGUGACGGUACCUGCAGAAGAAGCCUCGGCUAACUACGUGCCAGCCGCCGCAGUAAGAC
rnacentral:rRNA from 1 species